rnacentral:rRNA from 1 species
AGCGAACGUUUGCGGCGGGCUUAACACAUGCAAGUCGAACGAGAAUCCCUUCGGGGAGGAAAGUGGCGCACGGGUGCGUAACACGUGGAUAACCAACCCAUUGGUUUGGGACAACACCGGGAAACUGGUGCUAAUACCAGAUGUGUCGCAGCUGUCUUCAGGCGGUUGCGAGAAAGGCCCGCAAGGGUCGCCAACGGACGGGUCCGCGUCCCAUCAGCUAGUUGGUGAGGUAAUGGCUCACCAAGGCAUCGACGGGUAGCUGGUCUGAGAGGAUGACCAGCCACACUGGAACUGAGACACGGUCCAGACUCCUACGGGAGGCAGCAGUGGGGAAUCUUGCGCAAUGGGCGAAAGCCUGACGCAGCGACGCCGCGUGGGUGAUGAAGGCCUCGGUUGUAACCGUAC